CCCACUCGCACAAGCUGCAGAUAUGUGUAAACAUACAAGCUUUCAGACACUGUCCCAGACACACUUUCCCAAACAAACACAUGGACACACAUUCACAAACACUCAUACACACUGCAAGACACAGAAGGAUACAAAAUACAAAGAUAUAAAGGUGUAUUGGCGCUACCAAAAUACAAAUAUAGAAUGACUGGUGUAGUGAAAAGUGUAUCCCACAACACUUGAGAAUAGAUAAUGAAGCAAUAAAACAAACACUGCACCAGUCAGCGAAAUGCAAAUAACAGGAUCAAUAUGGACCAUGCUCUAUACCAAG